AAUGCCGUUGCUAAAGCUCAUUACUAAAUAAAUAACUAAAUAAAAAUGAAAAACUUCGAUCAUCUCGUGUUGAAGGCGAACCAAAAGAAAUGGGUAGGUUCAACAAAAAGCGAUAAUAUUCUCAAUUUCUCAUCUCGUGUUCAUGGCUGCGUCGUUCCCAUCGCCGAAGCCCAUCCCCGCCGCGCAUCGGUCAUCGAUCUUCACCGCCGUUUCUGAGCCACCGCGACACCACCAACCCUCGCCGGUGUUGAAGGCGAACCCAAACUCCGACUGGCAACGGUGAGAGCGACUGGAGACGGUGGCCACAAAAUCGACGCUGGCCAUGACCUAAUCGAUGCACUCACGCAUCAAAUCUCGAAGCUCCAUUCUUCUUCUCGAAGCUCCAUAAUCGCUGCCUCUGCGAUGAUGAAAUCGGAAGGAUUCGGUUUCAAAGAACUUUGGUUUCCGGAAGAAGAGUGAUUGAUUCGUUCUGUGUCGACUUAAUUUUGAUUUUGUUCAUUUUCAGGUUGUUCUGUAUGGAGAUCUCUCUCGCGCCCUUGUGAUCCUCCUUCCUUUACUCUUCAUCUAUGGCGGUGUCUGCUUCUACCUCCCUGGCUUAGUGCCGCAAGAUUUCCAAAAGGUUAUGUGAGGGUGGAGAACUGCCAAAUCAGAUAUUGGCCUAGUGUGGGCCUAUAAAUUGCUAAUUGAGAAUGACAAUAGUGAGAAAGGGAGCAGAAACAGAAGCAGAUAAAAUAGUAGAUGGCUUGUAAUGGGAGCAGAAGCAGACAGAUAUAAAUUGGGGAUGUGGGAACCAUCUGAAUCUAAUGGGAUGCUUUCAAAAACGCUAGCAUGAACAAGAACUGCGAGUAGUCUCAGGGAAUCUGUUUCCUUGGCUACAUUUUCUUUCUAUUAAGUUUUUUCCUCCUUCGAUCAAUAGUUAAUAAUUUUGCAUAAUAUGUGUUAAAUUCUUACCCUCCUUGCCCUGCUUAUUUUAUUAUUUACUUUCAUCUUUUCCUGUUAUACAUUGGUGGUUACUAAUGAUGCAUGCUAUUUUCUCUUUCAGGUAAACAGAAUCAUGGAACUCCCAGAAGAUAGUAAGGCAGUAGCCAAGCACACAGAUAGUCCCAAUCAUCAGGCAUUUGAAUGAAGAUGUGCUUCUUUCAGAGGCUGUGCAGGAUUUGGUGUCCAAGGUUCGUUUUCAUCCCUUUGAUAUUGAAUUACAUUAUCUAUUUUAUUUCUUUCUAUCUUUACUUUUUUUUCUUAUUAAUUAUAUGCUUAAAUACUAUUUGUUGGUGCAUGCCAGUAGUUGUUUCACUGUGUUUAUAGCUAGUCAUUUCUUUAGUUUGCUACGCCUUUGGAGAGACAUUAUGGAGGAAGAAACAGAACUAGAAAUCAAGAAAUGAACCACUACUGGUAUUUGCAAAUCCCUAAAACUUGCAUCUUCUCUACCUAACACUCAGGACACUGCCAAUAGUUCUUCUUAACUCUAAAAGGGCUGGUGUCAAGUUUUCCUUCUUCAAGAUUUGAGCAAAAUGAUGAUGGCAUGAUGGUGGAAGAAGAUGAUGCUACACUUUGAUGGUGGAAUUUGUUGGUUUGAAUGCUGUUUUAAUUUGGCCAAAAAUAUUGUCGAUCAUUAGAACAAUUUGCAUCUUGUAGUUUGGAUCUUUAGUUUAUUAAUUUGGAUUCUAAUGUAUUAAUGUUGAUGGAUUAUUACGUGGAUUCAAAGAUGAUAAUGAUUGACAGUAUCUUUUUUGUA